rnacentral:rRNA from 1 species
UACGUAGGGGGCAAGCGUUGUCCGGAAUCACUGGGCGUAAAGCGCGCGCAGGCGGUCAUCUACGUCUGGGGUGAAAGCCCGGAGCUCAACUCCGGGAUUGCCUUGGAUACGGGAUGACUUGAGGAUCGGAGAGGCAAGGGGAAUUCCACGUGUAGAGGUGAAAUUCGUAGAUAUUGGGAAGAACACCGGUGGCGAAGGCGGCAUACUGGACCACCACUGACGCUGAUGCGCGAAAGCGUGGGGAGCAAACAGG